rnacentral:lncRNA from 1 species
GGAUCGGGAACUGGAUCUGGAACUGGAUCUGGUGCCGGAUCUGGUACUGAUGGAUCUGGUGCUAUGCGAGGCCCGGAUGUACGGACCCUCUACUUUACACGCACGCUAAGAAAUGCAGGAAGGUAGGAUGAUGUCUGUAUAGUGCAAAAACCCUUUUGCAAAUAAACCCCUGGAAGAAAAGAAUUUCAAAAAUUCCUUCUUCCCUUUUCUUUUUCUUUCUUUUCCUCUUUCUUCCCGUUUCCUUUUUCUCUCUUUUACAGGCUACUCAAA